AUCAGUCACACUGGAACUGAGACACGGUCCAGACUCCUACGGGAGGCAGCAGUGGGGAAUAUUGGACAAUGGGCGAAAGCCUGAUCCAGCCAUGCCGCGUGUGUGAAGAAGGCCCUCGGGUCGUAAAGCACUUUAAGCUGGGAGGAAGGGUUGUAACUUAAUACGUUGCAGCUUUGACGUUACCAGCAGAAUAAGCACCGGCUAACUCUGUGCCAGCAGCCGCGGUAAUACAGAGGGUGCAAGCGUUAAUCGGAAUUACUGGGCGUAAAGCGCGCGUAGGUGGCUUGGUAAGUUGAAUGUGAAAUCCCCGGGCUCAACCUGGGAACUGCAUCCAAAACUGCCUGGCUAGAGUACGGUAGAGGGUGGUGGAAUUUCCUGUGUAGCGGUGAAAUGCGUAGAUAUAGGAAGGAACACCAGUGGCGAAGGCGACCACCUGGACUGAUACUGACACUGAGGUGCGAAAGCGUGGGG
rnacentral:rRNA from 1 species